rnacentral:rRNA from 1 species
GACGUAGGGGGCCAGCGUUGUUCGGAAUUACUGGGUGUAAAGGGUUCGUAGGCGGUGCGGCAAGUUGGGAGUGAAAUCUCUGGGCUUAACCCAGAGGCUGCUUCCAAAACUGCUGUGCUUGAGUGCAGAAGAGGAGAGUGGAAUUCCACGUGUAGCGGUGAAAUGCGUAGAGAUGUGGAGGAACACCAGUGGCGAAGGCGACUCUCUGGUCUGUAACUGACGCUGAGGCGCGAAAGCGUGGGGAGCAAACAGG